rnacentral:rRNA from 1 species
AUACGGAGGGUGCAAGCGUUGUUCGGAAUUACUGGGCGUAAAGCGUGCGUAGGCGGUUAGAUAAGUCGGGUGUGAAAGCCCAGGGCUCAACCCUGGAACUGCACCCGAUACUGUCUAACUUGAGUAUGGGAGAGGGAAGCGGAAUUCCUGGUGUAGCGGUGAAAUGCGUAGAUAUCAGGAGGAACACCCGUGGCGAAAGCGGCUUCCUGGCCCAUUACUGACGCUGAGGCACGAAAGCGUGGGGAGCAAACAGGAUUAGAUACCCUGGUAGUCCACGCCGUAAACGAUGAGAGCUAGGUGUUGGAGGUGUUGACCCCUUCAGUGCCGGCGCUAACGCAUUAAGCUCUCCGCCUGGGGAGUACGGUCGCAAGACUAAA